rnacentral:rRNA from 1 species
CGCGUAGGUGGUUCGAUCAGUCGGAGGUGAAAGCCCUCGGCUCAACCGAGGAUCCGCGUCCGAUACUGUCGAACUUGAGUGCAGGAGAGGAGAGCGGAAUUCCCAGUGUAGCGGUGAAAUGCGUAGAUAUUGGGAGGAACACCGGUGGCGAAGGCGGCUCUCUGGACUGCCACUGACACUGAGGCGCGAAAGCUAGGGGAGCAAACGGGAUUAGAUACCCCGGUAGUCCUAGCCGUAAACGAUGGGCACUAGGUGUGGGAGGUAUCGACCCCUUCCGUGCCGCAGCUAACGCACUAAGUGCCCCGCCUGGGGAGUACGGCCGCAAGGUUGAA